AUGCAUAAUAUAGGAAAGCAGUCAAGAGUAAUUAAGAUUACAGUCAUCCGUACAAGAAUUUAGAAUUGAAGUAUCAUAGUCCUCCUAUAAAAUGCUAGGAAUUUAAAACUUGAAAUAUAACAAGAGUCUUCAAAAUAACUUGAGUUCAAAUGACAUAAAGCCUAAAGAACUAAGCUGCAGCAUCUUUAUUUCCUUCCAAAGCUAUUUCCAAGGAAACCUCAUUCUCCUUUGCUCACAUCCAAAUGGAUGAUCAUUGCAAAAGAAAACACAUACAACAGACAAAGCAACAACAAGCAAGGGUGAGCUGAUUAUAUAAAAAGCAUGCGAUUAUAUUAGCAUAUGCACAUCAGAUUUAAUCUUAAGUCAAGUAUAAGCAAGCAAGACAAUAUAAGACACAAAACCUAGCAUGUUAUCUUCUAGACUUGACUCGUUCAGACUUUAGAAUGAUAGUUGAGCUAUGACGGGUCAUGCACCCGUGGUGGCUUAUGAUACUUAGGCUCCCCCGCCUUGGGCUCCCCCGCCCUAGGUUCCCCCGCCCUGCCACACUCACGAGGUUAGUCUAUUCCGUGCCUUGGAGCAUGAUGGAAGCCUCCAAGACUAAGACAUCCUGCUACUCCUCACCACAUGGUUCAAUCCUCUCUACAUGAGAAGAAAGACCAUUGGAGCGUAAGGAAGACCCCCAAGACUGAGCUCCUACUUUGAUUCUAAAACACUAAGACUCUCACCGAGAGAUUCUACACCGAUGGAACUUAGUUUACCACUUGGAUCGUACUUUUAUCACUUUGUGAUCAUAUACUUUUUGCCACAAUCAACAUAUACACAAUCUCAACAAUAUACAUUACUCACCAAUCACAAAACUUAUAACACAACCUCAAUACUUUUCUUACAUAGUCUCAGUACUAUACAUUGACUCAUCAAACACAAGGUUUUACUUCAACAAAUAAAAUAUUACAACUUCAUAUACAACGUCUUAUAAAAAUACUACAACAAAUAAAUCACCCCAAAAACAUAUAAAAUUACUAUGACAAAAUAUUACCCCAACACAUAAAAAUAUUAAGCUUUUAUACUUUAUUUUACAUACAUAAUAAUUUCUCAAUCACUCAUAUUAAAUUAUGAAAAUCAAUCGUGACAUCUCUUAACUUAUUUUACUAACAAACUACAAGUAUACUAAAAAUUAAUCUCAUAUCAAACUUAAUAGUUAAAUAUAUAUAUAUAUAUAUAUAUAUAUAUAUAUAUAUAUAUAUAAAAUAAUAAAUAUAACUUAAUCUUGUUAAGUUUCCAUACGUAUAUAUUAUUAUAUAAUAUAUGUAAUAUAAUUAUUUAUAUAGAAGUUAUAUAUUAUAUAAUAUACAAAAGUCUAUAAAAGAUAUAUUAAUGUUAAGUUUCUAUACAUUCAUAUAAAAGUCAUAUAUAUACAUAUUAUUAUAUAAUAUACAAAGGUAAGUAAAAGAUAUAUAUUAAUAUAUUUUAUACAAAGAUCACAAAACGGAAUGAAUAUAGUAUAAUAUAUUAUUUAUAUCAAUCUUGAUAUUAAAAGGAAACCUAAUAAAUCCAAAAAAUCAUCAUCCUAUUUCCUUCUCUGCAACCCAAUUUCUCUCACAUCUUAUAUAAUCAAUUCAACAAUAUCACAUUCAAUUUCAGUUAGCAACUCAAUUCAAAACAGAUAAAAUUUAUCACUAUGCCAAUUCACAUAUUUAUACUAUUCAUCAGUUUCACAGUCUCAGUUUGGGCAUUCAGUAAAAUUAAAAAUUGCAGGGCAGUUUUACAAACACAUUAGUUCAACAUUCAACAUGUAGUUAUUUUAUAAAAUAAAUUUCUAAAAAAAGUAAUCAACUCUCCUUACAUGGAAAUUUCACAGCUCUAUAGUUCUACAGUACCUCGGGUCACACCGAACUUGGACCGCACCCUACAGAUCACAAAACUGUGAUUAAGAAUAGUUCUUAGAACUACCGUUGAACAGAGAUUGGAAGGACAGAAACGAAAGACACAUGCAUCAACAAAACUGUUGCAUGCUCAAAACCCUAGAAGCCUAAGGAAAGGGGGAAACGACUUACUGGCGAAAUAAUGAGAACCCAAUCGGUUCAAGUCGAAGCUCUCGACUCCGGGAAUGCAGGGACGCCACCUAAACGAAAAUGCACCGGUUCAGUUUGAAGAUUCGGUAGAGAGAAGGCAGAGAAAUAAGGGCUUAAGUGGUUCUAGAGAGAGAGUUAUCA
rnacentral:lncRNA from 1 species